CAAAAAGAAACACACAGAGACACAGGCAAACGAAGGAGUUCGACAAUCGGCAUUUCCCGUGACGCAAACGCAAUCGGUUCGAACGAAGACAAACCGCCCCCUUUUUUUCUCUCUCUCUCUCUCCCCGAGCACAUGGGCCCGCGAGGACUCACCCCACCACCCACCGAAAACACGCUCUCGCCUAAAACAACAACAUAAAAUGGACGGCCCGCGAUUAAGACUUUUUUUUAUUCAGCUUCCGUUAGCGCCCCACGCGACGCCAAGAUCGGCGGUGGGGAAGCUUCUUGAGCGUGUUAAUCGGGGCUGAAGAGGAGCCGGUGCCCCCCACAAAGAUGGAUCCUGCGGCCAAGGGGUGGAAACCUAUCAUCCUUGCCUGGUCUGGCCUAUGUGUGACUCCAGACCCAUAGCAAUGUGGUUGAUUUUUAACUGCUGUUUGAAACGGCCCAGCAAGACACUCCAUUCAUUGGCAGUGAAGGAUGGACAAUAAGAGUUGGAUCAGCCAGCAAUGUUCACAUCUCACGAAUGAAUAAAAUAUGUUAAUUUA